rnacentral:misc_RNA from 1 species
AAAAAACGUAGGUGUUCAUCGUGGGUCCAUGUCUUGCUCUCAGAUUUGUUAAUGUACAGGGAUACGCAAUGAGUCCAGGCAUGAUUACGUUUACAGGUGUUCUGCUUGCUGUGGGUGCGGAAUUCUGUUACUGUUUUAACUGUAUAUCCCCGUUGGGAGAUUCUGUCGAUUGGUUUAUGAUGUACAAAGUUCCAAAGGCCACCCGACCAAUGCCAAAAAAGACAACAGGAAAAGAAUUCUACUACUUAGAUGCCAACAAUGCGACGUGGUCUUUUAUGGAUGUCAACAUUAAGGAACCUGAUCAGAACCCUUUAUACUACACAUUGCAGCAGAUCUACCAGAAAGCAAGUCUGUCUGUCUGUCUGUCUGUCUGUCUGUCUCUCUCUCUCUCUCUCUCUCUCUGUUUUAAAUGAUUGGAAUGCUAUUUCAGAUGCAAGUUCUAGUAGUGGUUACAUUAUAUUUGUCAGAACCCCGAGAAGUACGGCAUGUACAACGAUCAACCACCACAAGGCUCUGUCCCGCUAACAAGUUCCACUACAAACCAGGCUACUGGAGCCCAUAUGAAAGGUGCAUUCGCUUUCGAUAAAGAUUCCGGAUUUUGGUUAAUCCUGAGUGUACCGUUUUUCCCGGCACCCCAGAAAUAUAACUAUAAGUAUGGGUCUUCUCAGUUAAUUAAGGCCCAGGCCAUCCUGUGUAUAACACUUGACUCGAAAUAUUUGGAAGAGAUUGGUAAUUUUAGAAAAAAAUGUUUAUACUUUAUUAAUGAAUACGUCAAGCUUUUACAUUUAGAUAUGCGACGCUAAUCGAAAGGUUUCUUUUUAUUCCAGAAAAAAUAUUUGACAUAACGAAACCGAUGUUUUUUGAUGGUAAUAAACCUUUCUUACAAGAAUUGCCUCGUGUUAAAGAUACCAAAAAGUCCACCAAAAUUGUGGUGGACUUCAAAUCAAAAGGGGGUCAGGAAUUCCGUGAGUACGCCAAAUCAGCGUCAUUUGGGGCAGGUAACUGAUUAACUACGGAGAGAACUUCUAUAUACGCAGUCUCUGCUGACCCAUCCAUUUACCCUUUUUAUAGUAAAAUAUUGUUUAACUUGAAUUGAUUUUAAACGUUGUUAAAAAUAUUGUAUUCUCAUAAAAUUUUGAAUAAGAUAUGCACAAUACACAGCUGGUUUAAUUUUAAAAAGAUCUUUACGACUCUUUGGUGGCUCCAGAUCUGAAGGACAAUCUACUUGUUGAAACUUGGUCCCCGAAUUUAGGAUCCAACUGUUCAACGUACAAGGUAUAUGAUGUCAAGAAAGUGGAAUUUAAGGACGGAUAUUGGUUCAAAUCCACGAUAGACCAUGCCAAGUGGGCAGUUACAGAGAACAGAGACUGGGCUUGUAUCGGCGAUAUAAACAGAGCGAAGUCCCAGUUUAGACGAGGCGGGGGAACGAUGUGCUUACGCCAUGCAGGAGUGGCCAAACAGUUUAGAAAUCUGGUGAAAGAAAAACAGGAAUGCUCAAAAAGAAGGAAUGUUUAUUAACCAUGUGUGCAACGCUCAAAUUGUCUCGCGCCAACCAACACCCAAUAAUCAUCUUUGUUAUAUACUUCAAAAACAUACAGAAAUCCCAUUGGGUUACAGAAUAUUAAACUGUUAUUCUGGCCAAUGGAUUGUGAAAAUGAGCGACUAUGAAAAAUAGAAAUGGAUAUACAUAUAGCUACAUGUGAGUCGCAGUAAAUAUGUAAAUACGAAUAAAACUUAACAUAAAAGAC